rnacentral:rRNA from 1 species
UACGUAGGGUGCAAGCGUUGUCCGGAAUUAUUGGGCGUAAAGGGUGCGUAGGCGGUUUGGUAAGUCUUAUGUGAAAUCUACAGGCUCAACUUGUAGUCUGCAUGAGAAACUGCCGGGCUUGAGUAUGGGAGAGGUGAGUGGAAUUCCUGGUGUAGCGGUGAAAUGCGUAGAUAUCAGGAGGAACACCUGUGGCGAAAGCGGCCCACUGGACCAUAACUGACGCUGAUGCACGAAAGCUAGGGGAGCAAACAGG